rnacentral:rRNA from 1 species
AGCAGCCGCGGUAAAUUCCAGCUCCAAUAGCGUAUAUUAAAGUUGUUGCAGUUAAAAAGCUCGUAGUUGAAUUUCGGGGUUCUACCGUCGGUCGGGCUACCAAGUCUGUACUGGUGUGUAGAAUUUCUACCUUCUGGGGAACCAUCAUGUUAUUAAUUUGGCGUGGUGGGAAACCAGGACCUUUACCUUGAAAAAAUUAGAGUGUUCAAAGCAGGCUUACGUCUGAAUACAUUAGCAUGGAAUAAUAGAAUAGGACGGUGGUCCUGUUUUGUUGGUUUCUGAAUCACCGUAAUGAUUAAUAGGGAUAGUUGGGGGCAUUAGUAUUCAAUUGUCAGAGGUGAAAUUCUUGGAUUUAUUGAAGACUAACUUCUGCGAAAGCAUUUGCCAAGGAUGUUUUCAU